GACAGGCGUAGCGCGAGCUCGAGCCAGGCAAGGCGGCCAAUGGGUUGCUGGAGGCAGUCGAGCCAAUGGGGAGGCGGCUAGGGCGCAGGCGCGGUGGAAGGGGAAGCCGAGAGGCGCGCGCCGGCCCCGCCCCCCUCCUCUCCCUCCCUGCCGCAGUAGUGGCUGAGGGAGCGAGGGCGGCCAUUUUGGGAGUCUGGGCAGGGGCGCGGGGUGGGGGAGGGGAGGGAAGCUUCGCGGAGAGACGGCAAAGACAGGCAGAGAGGCUUCCCUCACACACUCGCUCGCACACGGCGCAAGAUGGCCGGGCGGACGGCUGCUUCGCGAGCGGCUGCGGCUUUUUUUACCCCCACCUCCGUUCUCUCCCUCCAACCUUCCCGGGCCGAAAGCGGCCUCAGGGUCGGGGGGUCUCCGCCGAUCCGGGGGGUUCGAGCUUGUGGGGUGGUGGAAAGUAUAGCCUGUCCCGGUUGAGGCGGACCCGAGAACGAGCCUCUGCGGCAAGGCGAGCCCUCGGUGUCUGCCGCCGCCCGCCCUCCGGGAUGUCCUCGGCUCGACUCGCCUGGCUUCUCUCGCCCCUCAGGACGGUAUUCUAUGAAUAUUUGCCACCUCAAUAACAGAUGGGUUAUAAGUGCUGCCCAGAAUUUUUUGUAGAUUUGUCUGACUUCUAAUAACUAGAAGGAUCCAGAUGGAGCCAAAGGAGAACAUGUUAGCCAUUUCAGGUACAUUGAUCUGAUUCUACCUGAUACCUGAUUCUGUAUGGUGUAUUGAGUCCAGAGAAAGGAAGAAACUCAAAGGGAGACAACGAUUUCCAAAUCAAGAUGGCAGUUCCACUGCUGAGAGUUUCAGAUUGCAUGAUUGCUGAGUAUGCCCUUCCAAGAAAGGGAUUCUUUAACAUGGACUACGAUUGUCUAACCUACAGAAGAUUUGAGCUAAUUGUAAUCUUAUAUUCUGUUUUUAUUUUUUUUAAAUCUGUUUCCAGACUCUUGGGAUUAGCAUUCAGUUGGGGAUGAAGGGCUUGAAGGGGCUGAUCAAAUUUUGCAAACAGGAAUGUAUAAAAAUGUCUGUCCCAUAUAUAAUUGGCACAAGUGAAUUGCUAUUUAAAUAAAAGUAUUUUUUCCAUAUU